UCGACAGGUGCCGGGGACGUCUCCAAGUGUCCCAGUUCUUCCUGUUUGUGCCAGAGACGUCUCUGAAACUAUCCGGAGACGUCUCGGCUGUCCCUGAUCUGUUUUCUUUAACUCAAAAUAUUCUUCAAUAAAUUCAUAAAAAUUAUGGGAACUUGCCUAGACAUUUCUUAACAAUAUUCUCAAUUAAUCACAUGAAUUCCUCAAUUAAAUUGUUAAGAUAAAUGGAAUUAUACUCUAGUGUUUUGU
rnacentral:lncRNA from 1 species